GGACCAAGGAGUCUAGCGUGUGCGCGAGUCAUUGGGAAUAACUAAACCUAAAGGCGAAAUGAAAGUAAACGUCCGCUUACUGCGGACUGAGGGAAGAUGAUCGGUCUUCACGACCGAUCCGCAUUCCCGGGGCGUCUCGUUCUCAUUGCGAGAGGAGGCGCACCAAGAGCGUACACGCUGGGACCCGAAAGAUGGUGAACUAUGCCUGGUCAGGACGAAGUCAGGGGAAACCCUGAUGGAGGUCCGUAGCGAUUCUGACGUGCAAAUCGAUCGUCGGAACUGGGUAUA
rnacentral:rRNA from 1 species